rnacentral:siRNA from 1 species
CGGAGGACAUUGUCAGGUGGGGA